rnacentral:rRNA from 1 species
AACGAACGCUGGCGGCGUGGAUAAGACAUGCAAGUCGAGCGGGAACUUUCGCUGUAGCAAUACAGUGAAAGUUCUAGCGGCGAACGGGUGCGUAACACGUGGACAAUCUGCCUUAAAGUGGGGGAUAGCUCGGCGAAAGCCGAAUUAAUACCGCAUGUGAUGAGAGACGACAUCGUCUUGAAAUCAAAGCCGGGGCAACCUGGCGCUUUUUGAGGAGUCCGCGGCCAUCAGCUUGUUGGUGAGGUAACGGCUCACCAAGGCUAUGACGGGUAGCUGGUCUGAGAGGACGACCAGUCACACUGGAACUGAGACACGGUCCAGACACCUACGGGUGGCAGCAGUCGAGUAAUUUUUGAC